rnacentral:rRNA from 1 species
GACGAACGCUGGCGGCGUGCUUAACACAUGCAAGUCGAACGGAAAGGCCCUGCUUUUGUGGGGUGCUCGAGUGGCGAACGGGUGAGUAACACGUGAGUAACCUGCCCUUGACUUUGGGAUAACUUCAGGAAACUGGGGCUAAUACCGGAUAGGAGCUCCUGCUGCAUGGUGGGGGUUGGAAAGUUUCGGCGGUUGGGGAUGGACUCGCGGCUUAUCAGCUUGUUGGUGGGGUAGUGGCUUACCAAGGCUUUGACGGGUAGCCGGCCUGAGAGGGUGACCGGCCACAUUGGGACUGAGAUACGGCCCAGACUCCUACGGGAGGCAGCAGUGGGGAAUAUUGCACAAUGGGCGGAAGCCUGAUGCAGCAACGCCGCGUGCGGGAUGACGGCCUUCGGGUUGUAAACCGCUUUCGCCUGUGACGAAGCGUGAGUGACGGUAAUGGGUAAAGAAGCACCGGCUAACUACGUGCCGGCAGCCGCGGUGAUACGUAGGGUGCGAGCGUUGUCCGGAUUUAUUGGGCGUAAAGGGCUCGUAGGUGGUUGAUCGCGUCGGAAGUGUAAUCUUGGGGCUUAACCCUGAGCGUGCUUUCGAUACGGGUUGACUUGAGGAAGGUAGGGGAGAAUGGAAUUCCUGGUGGAGCGGUGGAAUGCGCAGAUAUCAGGAGGAACACCAGUGGCGAAGGCGGUUCUCUGGGCCUUUCCUGACGCUGAGGAGCGAAAGCGUGGGGAGCGAACAGGCUUAGAUACCCUGGUAGCCCACGCUGUAAACGGUGGGUACUAGGUGUGGGGUCCAUUCCACGGGUUCCGUGCCGUAGCUAACGCUUUAAGUACCCCGCCUGGGGAGUACGGCCGCAAGGCUAAAACUCAAAGGAAUUGACGGGGCCCCGCACAAGCGGCGGAGCAUGCGGAUUAAUUCGAUGCAACGCGUAGAACCUUACCUGGGUUUGACAUGGAUCGGGAGUGCUCAGAGAUGGGUGUGCCUCUUUUGGGGUCGGUUCACAGGUGGUGCAUGGCUGUCGUCAGCUCGUGUCGUGAGAUGUUGGGUUAAGUCCCGCAACGAGCGCAACCCUUGUUCACUGUUGCCAGCACGUUAUGGUGGGGACUCAGUGGAGACCGCCGGGGUCAACUCGGAGGAAGGUGGGGAUGACGUCAAGUCAUCAUGCCCCUUAUGUCCAGGGCUUCACGCAUGCUACAAUGGCUGGUACAGAGAGUGGCGAGCCUGUGAGGGUGAGCGAAUCUCGGAAAGCCGGUCUCAGUUCGGAUUGGGGUCUGCAACUCGACCUCAUGAAGUCGGAGUCGCUAGUAAUCGCAGAUCAGCAACGCUGCGGUGAAUACGUUCCCGGGGCU